AUUGUUGUGGCCAAGUGGUUAAGGCAAUGGACUAGUAAUCCAGUGGGGUCUCCCUGAGCAGGUUCAAAUCCUGCCAACAAUG